rnacentral:rRNA from 1 species
UACGUAGGGUGCAAGCGUUAAUCGGAAUACUGGGCGUAAAGAGCGCGCAGGCGGUCGUUCAAGUCGCGUGUGAAAGCCCCCGGCUCAACUGGGGAGGGUCACGCGAUACUGAUCGACUCGAAGGCAGGAGAGGGAAGUGGAAUUCCCGGUGUAGUGGUGAAAUGCGUAGAUAUCGGGAGGAACACCAGUGGCGCAAGCGGCCGCCCGGCACUGACCUGACACUGAGCCACGACGGCGUGGGGGAGCAAAGCGGG